rnacentral:rRNA from 1 species
AGAGUUUGAUCAUGGCUCAGGAUGAACGCUAGCGGCAGGCCUAAUACAUGCAAGUCGAACGCUCAGUAGCAAUACUGGGAGUGGCGCACGGGUGCGUAACGCGUACACAAUCUACUCUAAGCGGGGGACACCUCCUGAAACGGGGAUUAAUACCGCAUAAUAUGCCGAAGUCGCAUGACUUUGGUAUUAAAGCAGCAAUGCACUUAGAGAUGAGUGUGCGUCCCAUUAGGUAGUUGGUGAGGUAACGGCUCACCAAGCCUAUGAUGGGCAGCCGGUCUGAGAGGAUGGUCGGCCACACGGGCACUGAGACACGGGCCCGACUCCUACGGGAGGCAGCAGUAAGGAAUAUUGGUCAAUGGUGGAAACACUGAACCAGCCAUGCCGCGUGGAGGAAUAAGGUCCUACGGAUUGUAAACUCCUUUUGACGAGGAAGAAAAUGUUAGAUUUAUCUAAUUUUGACGGUACUCGUAGAAUAAGCACCGGCUAACUCCGUG